UACGUAGGGAGCGAGCGUUGUCCGGAUUUAUUGGGCGUAAAGAGCUCGUAGGCGGUGUGUCACGUCGGCCGUGAAAACCUGCAGCUUAACUGUGGGCGUGCGGUCGAUACGGGCAUCACUGGAGUUCGGCAGGGGAGACUGGAAUUCCUGGUGUAGCGGUGAAAUGCGCAGAUAUCAGGAGGAACACCGGUGGCGAAGGCGGGUCUCUGGGCCGAUACUGACGCUGAGGAGCGAAAGCGUGGGGAGCAAACAGG
rnacentral:rRNA from 1 species